rnacentral:rRNA from 1 species
UGGGGAAUUUUGGACAAUGGGCGAAAGCCUGAUCCAGCAAUGCCGCGUGUGUGAAGAAGGCCUUCGGGUUGUAAAGCACUUUUGUCCGGAAAGAAAUCCUUGGCUCUAAUACAGUCGGGGGAUGACGGUACCGGAAGAAUAAGCACCGGCUAACUACGUGCCAGCAGCCGCGGUAAUACGUAGGGUGCAAGCGUUAAUCGGAAUUACUGGGCGUAAAGCGUGCGCAGGCGGUUUGCUAAGACCGAUGUGAAAUCCCCGGGCUCAACCUGGGAACUGCAUUGGUGACUGGCAGGCUAGAGUAUGGCAGAGGGGGGUAGAAUUCCACGUGUAGCAGUGAAAUGCGUAGAGAUGUGGAGGAAUACCGAUGGCGAAGGCAGCCCCCUGGGCCAAAUACUGACGCUCAUGCACGAAAGCGUGGGGAGCAAACAGGAUUAGAUACCCUGGUAGUCCACGCCCUAAACGAUGUCAACUAGUUGUUGGGGAUUCAUUUCCUUAGUAACGUAGCUAACGCGUGAAGUUGACCGCCUGGGGAGUACGGUCGCAAGAUUAAAACUCAAAUGAAUUGACGGGGU